rnacentral:lncRNA from 1 species
GAGCCAGAGAAGCAGAGACAGGUAAAGACAAUCAGCAGGGGAUGAAGAUGUCAAACACGGCCAAAGAAGAACUGUAAUGACAACCUAGAGGACUUCCUAAGUCUCUCAGGACUCUUCCAGGCAGUUGGAACUUGAGGGAUUUCAACAACUUCUUUGCUGCCUAGACCUUGAAGAAGGAUUUACAACAGAGGCUUCUGGCAGUGAGAAUAUAGAAUCUUACCCAGCAUUUGCUCUGAGCUUUGGACAGGGAGGUCUAAGUUUAUCUUCUAUAUUUGUCAUUUUUUGGAUGUUCCAGUUGGCACUUCCAAUACUCCUUUCAAAGGUGAUAACCAAUUUUUUUUUUCUUAUCCUGAAAUAAGUUGUGUGAGUGUGUAUGUGUAUAUGUUUCCAUGAGAUUUUGCU